CCUUUUGCGGCUCUGUUGAGAUUCAGUUUGGGCCUCUAGGGUAAAGGUGAGCCCCGGUACAGAUCCUGGUGAACAUCUGUAGAAAGGCCCUGCUGAGAUGGACUUCAGGAACCAGGUGAAACUCUGGCUCCCCUGACUCCUCUCGUCUAAUCAUAUUUCACCACUGAAUCCAAAUCAGACUUCUGUAGCUGGGUGUAACUGGAGAGAUUGCCCGUCUGUCCCUUCCGUUUUCUGGAGGGGAAAGCCACCGCUCAGGCGCACCCUCUGCUGGUCAGCCCUGAGUUGGGCGGUCCCGGAGCCAGGUCAAUGUUCCUUCCAUUCUGCUGUCUGCAGUAACCAAAAGGCCAGCUCGGGAAAGGGAGAACCAGGAAGAUUCAAGGACACCCAGCCACCAAGGAAAGCAACAAAUCAGCAAAGAGCAGGGCUGAGCUUGGUCUAAGUUACAAGUGGCCGCAAAUUGCCAAGGUGCCCCAGGCCAGCUGCUGUCUACAAAGUCAGUGCGGCUGGCUUGCUGGGGAAAAAUAAAAUGGCAACAAUAAAAUGAAUUUCUGAAGGAUAACUAUGUUAGACUCUGCCAUCAUUCGGACUUCCUGGAAGGUCUAUGACUCCCUGAAAAGAUCUCGGACAGUUAAGGAAACUGCCAGCCCGCCACAGUGAAG